ACCCCGGCCGACUCACUCCACAACCCUAAACCCUAAAUCCACCGCCUCUGAAGGCCCGAAUCUCUGGUGCGAAGCUUUCGAAGCCCUAAGUCGGAGAUUUGUCUUCGAAUCUGCCUUUCAGGUGUUGAUUUCGGGUUCUUCACAAAGCACUCUUUUGCUCUGGGGUUUUGACUAACUGGAGAUUCUGAUAAAGGUGUUGAUUUCGGGUUCUUCACAAAGCACUCUUUUGAUUUGGGGUUUUGACGAACUGGAGAUUCUGAUAAAGGUGCAGCUAAUGAAAGAAUAGAUAAUGUGUUAGUCGAUCUUAUUGAUUAGCGAGGGAUGGUUCUUCUUUUUAAACCCCUUACAUCUGAUAAAAUCAGAUAUGCUGUUGACAUGCCACAGGUACCUUCAAUUCAUUUUUUGGCCAUUUCUUUUGAAAUAAACUUGAACUUCUUAGAUCACAUUGAGUUAUAGAUGGUUUAUUUGUUUAUCUAUUCAUUGUAUCUGAUGAACUCCGCAUUGGCAUUGACACCUACCAAAGGUGUGUGGAGUUUUUUUUUCCCGUUUCUUUUACUCAACAUGGCAAUACUCAAUUUCUAUUAUGACUAUGAUGCUUGGGUGCAUGAGUUUAGAAAACUUUCUUUCCUCAGCAAUAAUGCUAAGAGCAAACUGAAACCUUUAGAAACAAUAACGGAUGAUCAACAACACUAUAAUAUAUUUACAAUUGAGGCUGAUUUGACUAACCCUUUUUUGUGUUUCAUGGGGUUCACAUGAAACUGA